CACGCCCUAAACGAUGUCAACUAGGUGUUGGGUGGGUAAAACCAUUUAGUACCGUAGCUAACGCGUGAAGUUGACCGCCUGGGGAGUACGGCCGCAAGGUUAAAACUCAAAGGAAUUGACGGGGACCCGCACAAGCGGUGGAUGAUGUGGAUUAAUUCGAUGCAACGCGAAAAACCUUACCUACCCUUGACAUGUCUGGAAUCCCGAAGAGAUUUGGGAGUGCCCGAAAGGGAACCGGAACACAGGUGC
rnacentral:rRNA from 1 species